rnacentral:rRNA from 1 species
AGAGUUUGAUCAUGGCUCAGGACGAACGCUGGCGGCGUGCCUAAUACAUGCAAGUCGAGCGAAUCUCAGGGAGCUUGCUCCCUGAGAUUAGCGGCGGACGGGUGAGUAACACGUGGGCAACCUGCCUAUAAGACUGGGAUAACUUCGGGAAACCGGAGCUAAUACCGGAUACGUUCUUUUCUCGCAUGAGAGAAGAUGGAAAGACGGUUUCGGCUGUCACUUAUAGAUGGGCCCGCGGCGCAUUAGCUAGUUGGUGAGGUAAUGGCUCACCAAGGCGACGAUGCGUAGCCGACCUGAGAGGGUGAUCGGCCACACUGGGACUGAGACACGGCCCAGACUCCUACGGGAGGCAGCAGUAGGGAAUCUUCCGCAAUGGACGAAAGUCUGACGGAGCAACGCCGCGUGAACGAAGAAGGCCUUCGGGUCGUAAAGUUCUGUUGUUAGGGAAGAACAAGUACCAGAGUAACUGCUGGUACCUUGACGGUACCUAACCAGAAAGCCACGGCUAACUACGUGCCAGCAGCCGUGGUA